rnacentral:lncRNA from 1 species
GUGUAACAUAAUAAAUGUAUCACCUUGUUUUUUUGGUUCGGAAUCUUUAAUGUUUCCCCCUUUUUUUCAUGAAGGCUUUUUUUGUUGUGUCCUUUGGAAUCUUGAAGAAUUGAACAUCAAACCCAAUCGAAGCAUUUGAUUUACGAUAAUAAUAAAUAUAACUAACAAAUCUCAUCAAAAAGAAUAUAUACACUUAAAUGAUCGAGGUAAUUAUAAAGGACAAUUUAAGAAGAAAAUUGCAAAAUCUCCGGGUUUUCGUAUUGUAGGUCCUAAUCAUCCCAAAGCAUUAAUCAUUUGGAUCUACCUUGGUCCCAAAAGAUGGACCAUCAGAGACAAAAUUCAAGCAUGGCUUCACCUAAAAGCAAUGCAUUAUGUUUUCCUUCCCCCAGUCCACACCCUUCCACUUUAGAAAGCUAAUGUUGCUAAUGUUAGUAGCUUUAAUCAGUUGCAAAUGGGAACUAUCUCCACUUCAGAAAUCCAAGAACAUGUAAUACUCAAACUACCUCUGAUAUAUUCCAUAUAUUUUGCAAGUAUUAAAC